CGGCGGACGGGUGAGUAACGCGUGGGUACCCUGCCUCAUACAGGGGGAUAACAGUUAGAAAUGACUGCUAAUACCGCAUAAGACCACGGUACCGCAUGGUACAGUGGUAAAAACUCCGGUGGUAUGAGAUGGACCCGCGUCUGAUUAGGUAGUUGGUGGGGUAACGGCCCACCAAAGCGACGAUCAGUAGCCGACCUGAGAGGGUGACCGGCCACAUUGGGACUGAGACACGGCCCAA
rnacentral:rRNA from 1 species